rnacentral:rRNA from 1 species
UACGAAGGGGGCUAGCGUUGCUCGGAAUUACUGGGCGUAAAGGGAGCGUAGGCGGAUAGUUUAGUCAGAGGUGAAAGCCCAGGGCUCAACCUUGGAAUUGCCUUUGAUACUGGCUAUCUUGAGUACGGAAGAGGUAUGUGGAACUCCGAGUGUAGAGGUGAAAUUCGUAGAUAUUCGGGAAGAACACCAGUGGCGAAGGCGACAUACUGGUCCGUUACUGACGCUGAGGCUCGAAAGCGUGGGGAGCAAACAGG